rnacentral:rRNA from 1 species
CACGUAGGCGGAUAUUUAAGUCAAGGGUGAAAUCCCAGAGCUCAACUCUGGAACUGCCUUUGAUACUGGGUAUCUUGAGUAUGGAAGAGGUAAGUGGAAUUCCGAGUGUAGAGGUGAAAUUCGUAGAUAUUCGGAGGAACACCAGUGGCGAAGGCGGCUUACUGGUCCAUUACUGACGCUGAGGUGCGAAAGCGUGGGGAGCAAACA